UACGAAGGGGGCUAGCGUUGUCCGGAAUUAUUGGGCGUAAAGAGCUCGUAGGCGGUCUGUCGCGUCGGAUGUGAAAACUCGGGGCUCAACCCCGAGCCUGCAUUCGAUACGGGCAGACUAGAGUUCGGUAGGGGAGACUGGAAUUCCUGGUGUAGCGGUGAAAUGCGCAGAUAUCAGGAGGAACACCGGUGGCGAAGGCGGGUCUCUGGGCCGAUACUGACGCUGAGGAGCGAAAGCGUGGGGAGCGAACAGG
rnacentral:rRNA from 1 species